UACGUAUGUCGCAAGCGUUAUCCGGAUUUAUUGGGCGUAAAGCGCGUCUAGGCGGUUUGGUAAGUCUGAUGUGAAAAUGCGGGGCUUAACUCCGUAUUGCGUUGGAAACUGCCAAACUAGAGUACUGGAGAGGUGGGCGGAACUACAAGUGUAGAGGUGAAAUUCGUAGAUAUUUGUAGGAAUGCCGAUGGGGAAGCCAGCCCACUGGACAGAUACUGACGCUAAAGCGCGAAAGCGUGGGUAGCAAACAGG
rnacentral:rRNA from 1 species